rnacentral:rRNA from 1 species
ACUCCUACGGGAGGCAGCAGUAGGGAAUCUUCCACAAUGGGCGCAAGCCUGAUGGAGCAACACCGCGUGAGUGAAGAAGGGUUUCGGCUCGUAAAGCUCUGUUGUUAAAGAAGAACACGUAUGAGAGUAACUGUUCAUACGUUGACGGCAUUUAACCAGAAAGUCACGGCUAACUACGUGCCAGCAGCCGCGGUAAUACGUAGGUGGCAAGCGUUAUCCGGAUUUAUUGGGCGUAAAGAGAGUGCAGGCGGUUUUCUAAGUCUGAUGUGAAAGCCUUCGGCUUAACCGGAGAAGUGCAUCGGAAACUGGAUAACUUGAGUGCAGAAGAGGGUAGUGGAACUCCAUGUGUAGCGGUGGAAUGCGUAGAUAUAUGGAAGAACACCAGUGGCGAAGGCGGCUACCUGGUCUGCAACUGACGCUGAGACUCGAAAGCAUGGGUAGCGAACAGGAUUAGAUACCCUGGUAGGAUAGCG